CAGUCGCCGCGGUAAUACAGAGGGUGCAAGCGUUAAUCGGAAUUACUGGGCGUAAAGCGCGCGUAGGUGGUUUGUUGCGUCGGGAGUGAAAACCGGGUGCUUAACACCUGGCUUGCUUUCGAUACGGGCAGACUUGAGGCAUGCAGGGGAGAACGGAAUUCCUGGUGUAGCGGUGAAAUGCGCAGAUAUCAGGAGGAACACCGGUGGCGAAGGCGGUUCUCUGGGCAUGUUCUGACGCUGAGGAGCGAAAGUGUGGGGAGCGAACAGGAUUAGAUACCCCCGUAGUCCCUGUCUCUUAUAC
rnacentral:rRNA from 1 species